rnacentral:rRNA from 1 species
GUAACGGCGAGUGAACCGGGAUGAGCUCAAAUUUAAAAUCUGGCGUCUUUCAGGCGUCCGAGUUGUAAUCUAUAGAGGCGUUUUCCGCGCCGGACCGCGUCCAAGUCUCUUGGAAUAGAGUAUCAAAGAGGGUGACAAUCCCGUACUUGACGCGACAACCGGUGCUCUGUGAUACGUUCUCAAUGAGUCGAGUUGUUUGGGAAUGCAGCUCUAAAUGGGUGGUAAAUUCCAUCUAAGGCUAAAUAUUGGCGAGAGACCGAUAGCGAACAAGUACCGUGAGGGAAAGAUGAAAAGCACUUUGGAAAGAGAGUUAAACAGCACGUGAAAUUGUUAAAAGGGAAACGAUUGAAGUCAGUCGUGUGAAAGGUAUUCAGCCGUCUCUGGCGGUGUAUUUGCCUUUCACGGGUCAACAUCAGUUUGAUCCGGUAGAAAAAGGCGGGAGGAAGGUGGCACCCUCGGGUGUGUUAUAGCCUCCUGUCAUAUGUGCCGGACCAGACUGAGGAACGCAGCUUGCCGCAAGGCCGGGGUUCGCCCACGUACAAGCUUAGGA